UCUGCUGGGGCUUGGCUUGGAGCCCUGUUCCCUGAAAUACCGCAGAACUGGCUUCUGAGGAGAGGCGACGUGAGCUGCUGAGCUCCAGGUUGCUGCUGUUUCCCUCCCUCAGGAUGACGCGUUCCUGCAUGUGUUGGAUGGCACCUGGCUCAGAUCGUGCUGUGGUGUGGCACUCUGGGACACCUAGGAAGGUUUGCUGUGUGAUGGAGUCCAUGCUGUCUCCAUCCUCCCUUCGGUCUCCGAAUGCCUGGCUUAUCGAGGUGGCCUCUUGUCUCAUGCUCAUGGAAGAGAACAGGAAGGUGGCUGUGGUUGUGCUGCAUGUGAGAAAGUGAGGACAUGCUCAGGAAGCAUGCAACAAGGACGAGCCAGAGAACUUAGUCUGAUGAAGCAAGUUUUCAUCUAAAUCUACUUGUCUGGUGAUAAGUCCCAUUUCAGGUGACGUAAUUUGGCCUUAGUAGGCUUCUCAUUUCAUGAACAGUCUGCAAAUGCCGGUGUGAUUUAAUGGAAUGCAUUCUAACUUGUUUCCUAAAUUUUCACCAAUCAAAACUGUGUACUGAUCUGGGGGCUGGGAGUGGCUGUCUCAUUGUAAGUAGUGGCAUUAGAGAUGCCCUAUUCGUUGAGGCCCAUUCCUUCAGCUGAAGUUUAUAGAAUGUCAAAAGUUACAAUAUUUACUACUUUUCAGCACAGGAAGCACACUUACAGAUGACCUUAUUAUGGGAAGAAGCUGCACAGAGACAGGCUUCUGCUACCUGUGGCAGAAAAAAGGUUUGAUCUGAGCAGGACCUCUCCAGACCCCUUCACCCUCACUUGGGAGGAAAAAUCGAACAGUGAGGAGAACAUGCUCAGAGGAGUUGGAUUACAGCUUACACGUGUAUUCGAACCCAAAGUUACACAAUUUCACGAAGAACUGUGUGCAGAAAUGGUUUCUGAUUUUGCUUACAAUGGCUGAGAGUUUGUAAGAGAUUUGGAGGGACAUAACAUUUAUUUCCUACUUCCCUGAGCUUCAGUCCAGGCCUUGGAAAAACCCAUCUGACACAAUAUCACUACUCGGAGGAGAAGGCAGCUGUUUAAAAAUGUAAAAUUCCACUUAUUUCAAUGAAGUGUUGCUGAGCAGAUCUGACCCCACGCGUUUAUGCUCCUCAUUACCAUGGCCUUAUGUUUUACAUCAGAAACUCCCAAGGUGUGAAGGAGCAUGAUGAAAACAAGGAACUUGCAAGCGUUAAGCGUGGAUCUAAGAAAGGGCUUUUCCAGUCCUGACCAUUUCUUUAUGUAAGCACUGUCUGUAAGCUUGCACUGCAUGGCAGUGGAGCCCUGCUCAUCACUUCAUUAUACCUGAAAAACAGUGAAGCUUCUGUGAAGGCUAUAUGAAACACAAGGAUGUAAUUCCGUACCCAUAAGAGGAACUAUCUGAAAUUCAGUAGUGGUUAACAGAUCUGUGUGCAGAAUUGCUAGUGGGAAUCUGAACCUGAUCCAGCUUUCAGUGUUGGUACUUGUUAACUUCAUUAGAAUUAUUACGUGAUCACAGAAGCACAGAACUGUAGGGGUUGGAAGGGACCUCCAGACAUCAUCGAAUGAGAAAUAUCAAUUUAGAACUUGUCCUUCUGCACCUCUUUUAUUCACUGUACAUAGCACUGCAAAAGGAACGUACAAAAUUUUGUUUCUGCUUCUUUCAUCAUGCAGUUUAUCCUGCUGUACUUUACCGUUCUGCUACUAGAAGGUCUGGAUAUGGAGGACAAACACACGGCUAUGGAAUCUUUAUGCACUUGAUACAGUCUGGAUGAUGGGUUUACUUUAUUUAUACUUCUACUUUAUUCCCUGGGUGUGAAUUUGUUAGCACAAACUCCAAAGAAGUGAAGGAUAUCCAGAAUAAAGCAAAAGCCACAACUGGGAGAGAAAGUUUCACCAAAAUUCUUUUAAAGACGUCCUCUUUUUAUUCCUGUAUUUUCUUAUGUGCUCUUACUUCUUUUUGUGCUCC